rnacentral:rRNA from 1 species
AUUGAACGCUGGCGGCAGGCCUAACACAUGCAAGUCGAGCGAGCGGCGGACGGGUGAGUAAUGCCUGGGAAUUGCCCAGUCGAGGGGGAUAACAGUUGGAAACGACGUCUAAUACCACAUACGAUGAGAUUGCCCAGGGGGGAUUAUCUAGUUGGUGAGGUAAUGGCUCACCAAGGCGACGAUCCCUAGCUGGUAUGAGAGGAUAAUCAGCCACACUGGAACUGAGACACGGUCCAGACUCCUACGGGAGGCCGCAGUGGGGAAUAUUGCACAAUGGGGACAACCCUGAUGCAGCCAUGCCGCUUGUGUGAAGAAGGCCUUCGGGUUGUAAAGCACUUUCAGCGAGGAGGCGUUACUCGCAGAAGAAGCACCGGCUAACUCCGUGCCAGCAGCCGCGGUAAUAC